rnacentral:rRNA from 1 species
AACGAUGAAGAGUUUGAUCCUGGCUCAGGAUGAACGCUAGCGGCAGGCUUAACACAUGCAAGUCGAGGGGUAACAUAGAAAAGCUUGCUUUUCUGAUGACGACCGGCGCACGGGUGCGUAACGCGUAUACAAUCUGCCUUAUACUGGGGUAUAGCCUUUAGAAAUGAAGAUUAACCCCCCAUAGUCUCUUUAAAUGGCAUCAUUUUUAGAGUAAAGGUUACGGUAUAAGAUGAGUAUGCGUUCUAUUAGUUUGUUGGUGAGGUAACGGCUCACCAAGACUGCGAUAGAUAGGGGCCCUGAGAGGGGGAUCCCCCACACUGGUACUGAGACACGGACCAGACUCCUACGGGAGGCAGCAGUGAGGAAUAUUGGACAAUGGAG